CACGAACGCUGGCGGCAGGCUUAACACAUGCAAGUCGAGCGCCCCGCAAGGGGAGCGGCAGACGGGUGAGUAACGCGUGGGAAUCUACCCAUCUCUACGGAAUAACGCAUGGAAACGUGUGCUAAUACCGUAUACGUCCCUCGGGAGAAAGAUUUAUCGGAGAUGGAUGAGCCCGCGUUGGAUUAGCUAGUUGGUGGGGUAAAGGCCUACCAAGGCGACGGUCCAUAGCUGGUCUGAGAGGAUGAUCAGCCACACUGGGACGGAGGCACGGCCCAGACUCCUACGGGAGGCAGCAGUGGGGAAUAUUGGACAAUGGGCGCAAGCCUGGUCCAGCCAUGCCGCGUGAGUGAUGAAGGCCCUAGGGUUGUAAAGCUCUUUCACCGGUGAAGAUAAUGACGGGAACCGGGGAAGAAGCCCCGGCUAACCUCGUGCCAGCAGCCGCCGUAACAC
rnacentral:rRNA from 1 species